AACUAACUGCGUUAGGGAUUGCAGUGAAAAACCCACAGUAAGACCAAUGGAAUUGGGCUUGCGAGGAUUUGUAACGUAAAGCCCGACCCUUU
rnacentral:sRNA from 1 species